rnacentral:lncRNA from 1 species
UUUGAGGAUAGUUCUGAACACGGGAACUGAAGCAAGCAAACCGAAGUUUAAGUAAUCAAUGUAGAAUGGAGUUUCUUUCGUAAAUGUAAAGUCAUCGUAGGGUAAAUGCUGAACAGAUGUGAUGGGAAAGAGAAGACAAACAUCUCAUGUUUCAUGCUUGUAUAGUAUCUGAUAUAAAAGAACAAAACUACUACUUCCAACUAUCCAUCGUCUUCUGUAACGUUUUUGUUUUACUAUUAAUUUAAACGAAAUUCUUGUA